rnacentral:tRNA from 1 species
GCCCGGCUGGCUCAGUUGGUAGAGCGUGCGACUCUUGAUCUCGGGGUCAUGAGUUCAAGUUCCAUGUGUGGUG